CCUACGGGAGGCAGCAGUGGGGAAUAUUGCACAAUGGGGGAAACCCUGAUGCAGCGACGCCGCGUGAGUGAAGAAGUCUUUCGGUAUGUAAAGCUCUAUCAGCAGGGAAGAAAAUGACGGUACCUGACUAAUACGCCCCGGCUAACUACGUGCCAGCAGCCGCGGUCAUACGUAGGGGGCAAGCGUUAUCCGGAUUUACUGGGUGUAAAGUGAGCGUAGACGGCAGAACAAGUCGGCAGUGAAAUUCCGGGGCAUAACCCCGGGACUGCUUUGGAAACUGUGUAGCUGGAGUGCAGGAGGGGUAAGCGGAAUUCCUAGUGUAGCGGUGAAAUGCGUAGAUAUUAGGAGGAACACCGGUGGCGAAGGCAGCUUACUGGACUGGAACUGACGUUGAGGCUCGAAAGCGUGGGGAGCAAACAGGAUUAGAUACCCUAGUAGUC
rnacentral:rRNA from 1 species